rnacentral:rRNA from 1 species
UACGGAGGGUGCAAGCGUUAAUCGGAAUUACUGGGCGUAAAGCGUACGUAGGCGGAUGAUUAAGUCAGGAGUGAAAUCCCUGGGCUCAACCUAGGAAUUGCUCCUGAUACUGAUAAUCUAGAGUAAGGUAGAGGAUAGUGGAAUUUCCGGUGUAGCGGUGAAAUGCGUAGAUAUCGGAAGGAACACCAGUGGCGAAGGCGGCUAUCUGGGCCUAUACUGACGCUGAGGUACGAAAGCAUGGGUAGCGAACAGG